UGGGGAAUAUUGCACAAUGGGCGCAAGCCUGAUGCAGCCAUGCCGCGUGUGUGAAGAAGGCCUUCGGGUUGUAAAGCACUUUCAGCGGGGAGGAAGGCGAUAAGGUUAAUAACCUCAUCGAUUGACGUUACCCGCAGAAGAAGCACCGGCUAACUCCGUGCCAGCAGCCGCGGUAAUACGGAGGGUGCAAGCGUUAAUCGGAAUUACUGGGCGUAAAGCGCACGCAGGCGGUCUGUCAAGUCGGAUGUGAAAUCCCCGGGCUCAACCUGGGAACUGCAUUCGAAACUGGCAGGCUAGAGUCUUGUAGAGGGGGGUAGCAUUCCAGGUGUAGCGGUGAAAUGCGUAGAGAUCUGGAGGAAUACCGGUGGCGAAGGCGGCCCCCUGGACAAAGACUGACGCUCAGGUGCGAAAGCGUGGGGAGCAAACAGG
rnacentral:rRNA from 1 species